GUGUGUUUGUGCUUUAGGGUGCUUUUCUGUGACUGUAGCUUAGUUUAAACAAAGCUACAGUCACAGAAAAGCACCCUAAAUACAC